GUAGGUGGCAAGCGUUGUCCGGAAUUAUUGGGCGUAAAGCGCGCGCAGGCGGUCCUUUAAGUCUGAUGUGAAAGCCCACGGGCUCAACCGUGGAGGGUCAUUGGAAACUGGGGGACUUGAGUACAGAAGAGGAAAGCGGAAUUCCGAGUGUAGCGGUGAAAUGCGUAGAGAUUUGGAGGAACACCAGUGGCGAAGGCGGCUUUCUGGUCUGUAACUGACGCUGAGGCGCGAAAGCGUGGGGAGCAAACAGGAUUAGAUACCCUGGUAGUCCACGCCGUAAACGAUGAGUGCUAAGUGUUAGGGGGUUUCCGCCCCUUAGUGCUGCAGCUAACGCAUUAAGCACUCCGCCUGGGGAGUACGGCCGCAAAGGCUGA
rnacentral:rRNA from 1 species